UACAGAGGGUGCAAGCGUUGUUCGGAAUUAUUGGGCGUAAAGGGCGCGUAGGCGGCGCGACAAGUCACCUGUGAAAUCUCCGAGCUUAACUCGGAGCCUGCAGGCGAAACUGUCGUGCUGGAGUAUGGGAGAGGUGCGUGGAAUUCCCGGUGUAGCGGUGAAAUGCGUAGAUAUCAGGAGGAACACCGGUGGCGAAGGCGGGUCUCUGGGCAGUAACUGACGCUGAGGAGCGAAAGCGUGGGGAGCGAACAGG
rnacentral:rRNA from 1 species